AUUCCAGCUCCAAUAGCGUAUAUUAAAGUUGUUGCAGUUAAAAAGCUCGUAGUUGGAUUUCUGGUUGGAGCGACCGGUCGGGCGUUGAUUCGUCUGCACUGGAGUCGGUUUUGGCCAUCCUCUAGGAAAGUGCGUCUGGUAUUAAGUUGUCGGGCGUAUGAUCCUGGUCUUUUACUGUGAGAAAAUUAGAGUGUUUAAAGCAGGCCUUCGCCUUGAAUACAUUAGCAUGGAAUAAUAAGAUAGGACUUUGGUCUAUUUUGUUGGUUUGCAGACCGAAGUAAUGAUUAAUAGGGAUAGUUGGGGGUAUUUAUAUUCCGAUGUCAGAGGUGAAAUUCUUAGAUUUUCGGAAGAUAAACUUAUGCGAAAGCAUUUACCAAGGAUGUUUUCAUCA
rnacentral:rRNA from 1 species